rnacentral:lncRNA from 1 species
GACCCCGCCAGCCCUCGAGCGCGGCCAUUCGCCGCGUUCUGCCCUCUCCCCCCUUUCCUCACGCUGGUGGUGGCCCUUUCCUCAGUCCUGCUGAUGUCCUCCAGCUGAUUCCAGGCUGUUCCCGGCCACCCCUGAGGCCGUCCUUUCGCUUCUUGUAAAAGCCUCCCCGCCUCCUGAGCUCCCUCGGUCGCCUCCCGAGAAGCCAACGGGCCUCUCUGGUGGAGCGUUAGGUUGACAGCGUUUUAGCAGGACCGCGAGAAACCGGGGAGAUCCUCUUACGAGGAAAAACUCCAAGAUUACAUCCCUGUUAUCUUUCCUCCAGGAGCUGACUAAGGCUUUGGAACAGAAACCAGAUGAUGCACAUAUAUUAUCGUCAAAGAGCUUAUUGUCACAUUCUUCUUGGGAAUUACUGUGGUAAUUUUUCUUAUAAAGUAUAUUGCCCCUUUUUAAUAAGUUACUUAUACAUUUUACCCAUGACCAAUUAAUCAAAUAAAAUAAAGGUUGUCUUUGAGGAUUUUUGAGUUGGUCUUUCAUACAAGGUAAAGUAGCUCAAGUGUGACAGACAUGUUGAGCAACACCUAUUUAAAUUUUAUGGAUGUCUCUUUUUUCGUUCAGUGGGUGGAUAAUGUAUAUAGGUUUCAUUCGUAGUUAUUGAGUAGGCUGAUAAAGAAUAGUAUCACAUUUACUGUUUAACAGAGUAUUAAAAUGACAUGCUCUUCUUUGUAUUUUUUUAUAAAAAAGAAUGUGGCAUGGUGGCUCACGCCUGUAAUCCCAGCACUUUGGGAGGCCAAAGCGGGAGGAUCACAUGAGCCCAAGAGUUCGAGUCUAGCCUGGACAACAUAGCAAGACCCUAUCUAUAUUAAAAAAAUAAUGUAUUCCUGUACUGUGUAACUUUAAAAAUUAUUCUGAUGAAGAAUCUGGAUAGGGAAAAACUGAAUAUCUUUUUUUUUUUAGAUGGAGUUUUGCUCUUAUUGCCUAGGCUGGAGUGCAGUGGCACAAUCUCAUCUCACUGCAGCCUCUGCCUCCUAGGUUCAAGUGAUUCUCCUGCUUCAGCCUCCCAGGUAGCUGGGACUACAGGUGUAUGCCACUAUGCCUGGCUAAUUUUGUAUUUUUAGCAGAGAGGGGGUUUCACCAUGUUGGCCAGGCUGGUCUCAAACUCCUGACCACAGGUGAUCCACCCACCUCAGCCUCUCAGAGUGCUGGGAUUACAGGCGGGAGCCACUGCACCCCGCCAAAUUACAUAAGUGAUGCUAAUGAGAAAAGGAGAUGAAUUUUGUCACACAGCUUUAUUCACUGACCGAAGAGCUUUAAGAAGAAAGCUAAAUGUUAAGCCAAAAGGAAGGUACAAGAGUAAUAUUUAUUUGAAUUCUGUGUUGGAUUAGCUUUUCCUAAUUUAAAACCAUUUGGCGUUUCUAUUAACUCGAAAACUUGGAAAUCUAAAACUGAUCAGUAUUCUGUGUGUGUUUGCUAGAAUCUGUAAAUAACUGACAAAAAACAUCUUUUUCUUUCUUUCUUUUUUUUUUUUUGAGACGGAGUCUCACUCUGUUGCCCAGGCUGGAGUACAGUGGCGCAGUCUUGGCUCACUGCAACCUCUGCCUCCCAGGUUCAAGCGAUUCUCCUGCCUCAGCCUCCUGAGUAGCUAGGACUACAGGCGCGUGCCACUGCAUCCGGCUAAUUUUUAAUUUUUUUUUUCAUAGAGACGGGGUUUCACUGUGUUAGCCAGGCUGGUCUCGAUUUCUUGACCUCGUGAUCCACCUGCCUCGGCCUCCCAAAGUGCUGGGAUUACACGCGUGAGCCGCCAUGCCCAGCCAGAAACGCAUCUUUUUCUACAUAGUUGCUGUUGCUGAUGCAAAGAAGUCUCGCGAAUUCAAUCCAAAUAAUUCCACUGCUGUGCUGAGAAAAGGGUAUGCAAUAGCUACUCUUUUUGUUGAGCUUGGACUGUAAAUAGGAGAUGUGUAAUUUGUUGAAUGAGUUCAGUGUAAGCUUUAUAAGUAGUAAAAUUCUGUAUUUAUAGCAGAGAUAUGAUUCAAUUUUAAAUAUGAAGUUAUAGUUCUAUUAUUUUGUUAACCAUAGUAUGUGAUGGAGAUCUAUACUUAAUAUAUUUAAAAAUAGCGAUGAUUGAAAUAACUGCAAGGUAUAGAUGAAACUGAUGGAUUUCACAUUCUUUUUUUAUUUAAAAUUUGGAAUUUACCAUAUUUAACUGACUAGAGGACAUCCUAUUCUUCAACCAAGCUGAAUGGGCUACGCUUAAUGGUGUGAAAGCUCUGUAUCUAUGUGCUUUAUAUCCCAACUUGUUUCUGUUGAUAAGUGUAACUUUAUUCUUUAAGUAAGAAACUGCUUUAAUUCCUUUGUAUGUAUUUUGGAAUAAGCAGGUAUGUACAAUUAAAGUGAAAUUCCUUCUGAAGUAAGUUCUAAAAUUGAAUUUUACUGGAAAUUGUACUAGAUGUUAACAGUAUUUUAGAAAGUCUCUUGGCUUACUAACAUAUACUUAAAAAUAAAUUUUUUCUUUCAACAAUAGAAAAUACUAAGAUGUUUUCAUUUAGAAAGAAGGCUAUUUUCCAGAUCUUGUAUGUGUGUUAAUUUGUUUUAAAUAUGUUCAUGCAGGAUAUGUGAAUACCAUUUAAAAAACUAUGCUGCUGCUCUAGAAACUUUUAUAGGAGGACAAAAAUUAGUAAGUAUUAAAUUAUGGUUUUAUAAACUUACCUAUUUCUGUCUUAAAUACCAAAGCUGAAUUUUGUUAAUGUUAAUCUCAAGUUAAUUACAGAAACCCAAUACCUGUUUUUCUCACCGUAAUUACAUUUCAUAUUGAUCGCAGAUAUGAGAUCACUUAAAAUUGGUUAAAUUAGCCUUUUAGCAUUUAAACCACAGAUAAACUUACCAUUAGAAGUAAAAAACUAUAUGGAAACACUUAACAUGCUCUCUCUACUUAGUCUGGCUUUGUUUUUUUCUUUUCUUUAUUUUAUUUUAUUUUUUUUUUUGAGACAGUCUCGCACUGUCACCCAGGCUGGAGUGCAGUGGCGUGAUCUUGGCUCACUGCAACCUCCGCCUCCUGGGUUCAAGUGAUUCUCCUGCCUCAGCCUCCCGAGUGGCUGGGACUACAGGCGUGUGCCACCAUGCCCAGCUAAUUUUUGUAUUUUUAGUAGAGGUGGGGUUUCACAAUGUUGGCCAGGAUGGUCUCGAUCUCUUGACCUCGUGUUCCACCCGCCUCGGCCUCCCAAAGUGCUGGAAUUACAGGUGUGAGCCACCGGCGCCUGGCCUGGCUUUGUUUUUUCUAAUGGAGAAAUGAAAGUUUAAUUUGCUUUCUUGGUCAGAAGUCUGUUCAUUUUAAGUUAUUAAGAAUGCUGAGAUGGGAAAUCUUAACAAUAAGGUUUUUAUGGAGAAGUGAAGUGUACAUUUGGAUAAAUUAUGAGAGAGUACAGAAGAAACCCAGCGUUUUGAGAGUAUUGUUAGUUUUUAAUGUUAUAUUUUUGAGGGGAAUAUAUGAAAAUUAUCACAGCAUUGUGGAUAUUUAGACAUAUAUAGGAAUUGUGAGAGCAAGAAUUUUAAAAUCGGAAAAAUACUAAGAGGUUGUGAGUAAUCCCAGGAAAUUGUAGACUACAUAAUCCUACUUGUACUAUUAUUUUAUCUUUAUGUUAUGAUAGAGUUUUAUCACAAUUCUGUAAAGCAGUGGUUCUUAACUGGAAACAAUUGUGUCCCAGGAAACUUUAGGCAAUGUUUGAAGAGAUUUUUGAUUAUCAUGAUUGGUGGAUGGGGGAUGAGCUACUGACAUCUAAUGAGUAUAAACCAGGAGGUGCUACGAAACAGCCCAUAAUGGCCAGGACAGUCCUGCCCAACAGAGAAGUAUCUGGUUCAAAACGUCAGUAGUGCUGAGUUAAGAAACUCUGCUCUUACGUAUUAUGUGUUAAAUUCUAACUCUGUACUGCUUUGAAUGUUUGCUUUUCUGCUGUAUACCUACUCAAAAAAGGGAUUUUAGGCCUGAUUACACAAAUGGAAGCUACAAAUUAGGAAAGGAAAGGACUGGGUGACAGGGCUUAUUGUCAAAUUUGCUUAUCCCAGUUUCAGUUUUGGUAUGUGAAUAAUAGGGUUAUUCAGUCAGGAAGACAGCAUAUCUACACUCCUAGGAAAUUCCAGAGUCAAGUUAUCUAGUGCCUUGAUACAUACUUGAAACCCCUGAAAAAACAUGAGUCAUACCAUCUUCUACAUUUUCUUUUUUUUGAGACAAGGUCUCACUCUGUUGCCCUGGCUGGAAUGCAGUGAUGUGAUCUUGGGUCACUGCAACCUCCGCCUCCUGAGCUCAAGUGAUUCACCCACCCCAGCCCCCCAAGUCACUGGGGCUAUAGGCACGUGCCACCACAUCUGACGAAAUUGUGCUUUUUUUUCACAGAGACAGGGUUUCGCCCUGUUACAAAGGCUGGUCUUGAACUCCUGGGCUAAAGUGAUCCACCUGCCUCAGCCUCCCAAAGUGUUGGGGUUACAGGCGUGAGCCUUCAUGCCUGACCUCAUCCUCUGCAUUUCUAGGCCUUAUUACUUUUAAGAGCAAUAGAAAAGUUUCCUGCCUAAAUUCUUUUCUUUUUUUUUCUUCUUUUUGGACCUGGGGGCACAGAGCCUUACUCUUUCACCCAGACUUGAGUGCAAUGGCACCAUUAUAGUUCACUGCAGCCUUGAAUUCCUGAGCUCAAGCUGUCCUUCUGCCUCUGCCUCCUGAGUAGCUGGGAAUACAGGCACGUGCCAUCACACUAAGCUAAUUAAACAUUUUUGUGUAGAGAUGAGGUCUUGCUACAUUACCCAGACUGGUCUCUGAACUCCUGGCCUCAAAUGAUCCUACUGCCUUGGCCUUCCAAAGCUCUGGCAUUACAGACAUGAGCCACUGCACUUGGCCCCUAAAUUCUUUUCUUGAGUUUUCUUUCUUUCUUUCUUUCCCUUCUUUCAUUUUCUUUCCUUCCUUUCCUUCCUUCCUUUCUUUUUUUUUUUUUUUUUUUUUUUGAGACAGAGUCUCGCCCUGUCUCCCAGCCUGGAGUGCAGUGGUGCAUUCUCGGCUCACUGCAACCUCUGCCUCCUGGGUUCAAGUGAUUCUCCUGCCUCAGCCUCCAGAGAAGCUGGGAUUACAGGUGCGUGCCACCACAACCAGUUAAUUUUUUUGUCUUUAGUAGAGAUGGGGGUUUCACCAUGUUGGCCAGGCUGGUCUCAAACUCCUGACUUCGUGAUCCACCCGCCUCAGCCUCCCAAAGUGCCGGGAUUACAGAUGUGAGCCACUGCGCCCGGCCGAAUAAUAUCUUAAUAUCAUGCCAUUGACAUUUAUUCUGUAAUUACUUCAGAGGUGGCCUUCAGAAGAAGGCCUCUUUGGUAAAAUUGCUAUUGAGGAUAUUUCACUAAAAAACAAAUUUAUCUUUAAAUUCAAAUCCAGGAAAAAUUUAAGUUAAACUUUUAGGCUUCUAUUUUUAUCAGACAGGGUACAAAAUUUAUAACUCAGAAUAUUACCUUUUCCCCUCUUUGUGUGAUAGACUGCUUGGUUUUAGUUACUGAUUAUUUAAAAUAAUAAGUUAUUCAAACCCUCUUCCCUAGAAUAUAGUGUGUGUGAGAGAGUAUAUUUAAAAUUUUUAUUAAGGUCCAUGUAGUUGUAUUUCUUUUAUAAAUUAGUAAAUUAGAAAAUUUUGUUUUAAGAGAUUUUUAGUUUAAAAUUUCCAGAUUACUCUUGGCUGGAGUUAACUUGAAUUAGUAGGCUUUUAUUUAGAGUACUUUCAAGGUUUUUAACGUAUUUCACUAUGCACUGUGUAUAAAUGUAAUCAUUGUUCUGUGUCUCCAGAAAUGAAUAAUUUGUUUAUGCAUACAUUUACACUAUUAUCUGUAAGUAUAUAAUUUAUCACCUGUAGCCUUUUGACCCCCAUGUAACUUGGAUAUAUGAGAAAACUUCACAGAAUUUAAAGAUACUUCUUGGUGUUGGUAGGAAAGGGAUGGGAACAGAUAAAGCCACUGAGAGAAUAGUGGACUGAAUAGGUAGCCGCAUUGAAGAGCGAGUUGGGACUGGGAAAGGCUUAUGGACCUCAACUCAGCUCCCAGUUACCAAGCCUCCUCCCCACCCUAACUAAUGGCAUUUUGGGAGUCUGAUUUAGAUCUGACUUUGUUGUGUGGGUGAGGAAGCUUCUCUAAGGGCAGAGGGAUUGAGGGAAAUGUACAUUAUUUAUAUCUAUGAAAUUAGUGAGGUUGACUGUAGUUAAAAUUAAUUUUAAAAAAUCAAAAUGUUUCAGGAUGAAGAACUAAAUGUUAAACUAUUGGUAUGUUUAUAGCUAUAACAGAGUUUGCCAUAAGUUCUGUUAAGACAGGUUUUAUUCACUGCUGACUCCCCAGUGCCUAGAACAGUGCCUGGGAUGCAGUAGGUAUUUAAUAAGUAUUUGCUGAUUAAUAGGUUAUGCAGAUGAGUGAUGUGAUAGGUUUUUCUUUCUAGGUGCAGAUGCUAAUUUCAGUGACUGGAUUAAAAGGUGUCAAGAAGCUCAGAAUGGUAUGUAGAUCUCCCUUGGUAUUUCAAUUUAAAAAGAAGCAAACAUUUGAAAUUUUUUGGUUUAAACAAAUUUGUUUUUACCUUUAUAAUUUAUUUUAAAUAGUACAUGUUUCCUUAAAUGUAGACUUCCAAAAAUAUACUGUUUUUUGCCUAGCUUCUUAGGUUGAAAAGGAGAUUUGGGUGGAUUGCUGGUAUGGCAUAUCAGUGAGAAACUACUAAGGAGUCUAGGCUGGGCACGGUGGCUCACGCCUGUAAUCCCAGCAUUUUGGGAGGCUGAGGCGGGCGGAUCACGAGGUCAGGAGAUUGAGACCAUCCUGGGCAACAUGGUGCAACCCCGUCUCUGCUAAGAAAAUACAAAAAUUAGCCGGGCGUGGUGGUGCGUGCCUGUAGCCCCAGGUACUCGGGAGCUAAGGCAGGAGAAUCGCUUGAACCCGGGAGGCGGAGGUUGCAGUGAGCUGAGAUCACGCCACUGCACUCCAGCCUGGGCGACAGAACGAGGCUCUGUCUCAAAAAAAGAAAUUACUAAGGAGUCUAAAAUGAAUUCAGGAGGCAAAAUGAACCCACUUUUCUUUAGUUGAAAGGUAUGGAGAAUUGGCUUGCUUAAUCAGUAUGUUUGUGCAAUAAAAAUCAUAUAAAUACCUUUGCCUUUAAAUGUGCUGUUAACUGAAAAUGCUUCCUUUUUAUGUUUUAAUAGGCUCAGAAUCUGAGGUGGUAAGUCCAGAGUUUUCAUUCUUCAUGUUUUUACUUACUUAGGUUAAAUUUCAAGUACCAAGUAUAUUUGAGACAGGACACAGGAUGAACUCUUUGUCAGUUAAAUACUAAGCAAUUCCAUUUAAGUACUGGUUCCUCUAGGAACUGAAAUAAAACCAUUUUUUCAUAAAU